ensembl:lncRNA
GGUGGGAUCACUUAUAUUUGUCGCUCCGUUGCUGUCGGCACCCACCGAAUCUCACUUGUCCUCUAUGGGUCGCAGGAGAGCUAUUGGCAUCUUCUACAGUCUGUGGUUAGUACACCUAGCUAUGCUGCUUUUGCCCUGGGGUCUUCCAGCCUUGUGGCUGGCGGCUGGGUGCCUUCUACUGGUGCUGUGCAGAGGCUUUCCCUAAGGCUGCUGUGAGCCUGUAGGGUUUCCCCCUAGGCUACUAAGCUGGGUCUCUGGAACUCUCUCCAGCCCCAGUCCUCUCCGAGAUCUCCGGCAAUCCCUAGUCUCACGGGGCGGGCAACGGCAGCUGGGGGUCGCCCCGCCCUCUGGGCUUCUCUCCGGGCCUCUCCCGGGAGCCCUGAAUGCUGGACGUGGCCCCUCUGGUAAUGGCAGACAGAGAGUUUUGUCUGCUGCCUGGCGGAACUCCGGCGCUUCCCCUCCGGGUCGCAGAACCGGCCUUUGAAAGUUCCCCCCGCCCCGGUCCUCUCCGAGAUCUCUGGCAAUCCCUAGCCCCACGGGGCGGGCAACAGCAGCUGGGAGUCGCCCCGCCCUCUGGGCUUCUCUCCGGGCCUCUCCCGGAGCCGUGAAUGCUCAGCGUGGCCCCUCUGCUAAUGGCAGACAGAGAGUUUUGUCUGCUGCCCAGGCGGAGCUCUGGCGCUUCCCCUCCAGGUUGCAGAACCGGCCUUUGAAAGUUCCCCCAGCCCCGGUCCUCUCCGAGAUUUCCGGCAAUCCCUAGUCCCACGGGGCAGGCAACGGCAGCUGGGAGACCUCCGUACCCUCCGUGACUCUCUCUGGGACCCUCCGGGCGCCCCGAGCACCAGGCUGGGUCUCCCCGCCAAUGGUGGGGAGAGACUCUCCCCGCGGGCUCAGGUGUGCAACUCCAAAGUUUCCCUCUGCGUUUAGGAGUAAUUGCGGGGGGUUUAGGUAGGGUUCUGGUCACCUGUUUCCACCGUCGCUCCUCUGUUGUGUUCUCGCUCCUGCCCUAGAUGUAUGUGGAUCCUCUGGGGGCGUCUGUUGGAAGAAAGCCGCUUGCGGGUACUAGGCUGCCUGUCGGGGUCGGAGAGUUUUCACCUAUUUCCCCAUCCUCCCGGAGGAAAGUCCGUCCGCCUUCCGAUGUAUAGUCGCGUGGGUGUCUCAGACGUCCUGAGAUGCUGUCUGGAUAUCCUUUGUCAAGCGAUAAGUGUCCAAAUAAUUGUAGACUCGAAGGGCGAGAGACAAAGAGGACUACUCACGGCGCCAUCUUGGAUCUUCUCCCUCUUAUUCUUUUUUCAAGAACAAACUUUUGACUUGGUUGUUGCUUUCAAUUGUUAUGUUUAUUUUCUAUUGUCCUCAUUUUGGCUUUUAUUUUAUUGUUUCCCUCCUUGUACUUUCUUAUAGUGAUUCUGGGGGAAUUUCUUGUUGCUGUGCUAGUGUGUAGGAUAUCUUCCAUUUGCCCCACUGGAUGUACUCUCUACCGUUUUCAUACCGAGAGAGUGACUUGUCCUCUACUCCUGUAGUUGUGUAUAAACUGCAUCAAUGGGCUCACUUGCUCUCUGGCUUGCAAUUGGGUCCAACCAAUGCAGCAUCUAGGCAGGAGAUUGGAGAGAGAAAAUAGAAUGAGGUCAUGAUAUUUAUUCCCAUGGCUCCCUUCUGGCAGGAUUGCUUCAGUCUGGCUAGUGUUUUCAGUUGAAGGUCACUGUCUCAACUCUCUCUUCAGGUAAUGGUAACCUUUCCAUUUCCUUGUUCCCUUCAGGCUAGGAACAGUAAUGGCAGUGCUAUUACUAGUCCCAGACUACUGAAUUAUCCCUUGUGGUUCUGCCCUCUGCCCAUACCUUUGUAAAUAGUCUUUUUAUUAAACUCUCCUCUAAUGUUCCUAAUUUGAAUGAGCUGUCUAUUUCCUGCCAGGUGCCUACUUGAUAAACCUAGAGACUAUUAUGACUGGUACAUGUUCUUAAUUUAAAGUCAAGUUAAUCAUUAUCUUUACACUCCUCCCAAAUAAGAGAAAUACAUUAGAUCAGCAAGAUUGCAGGAUACAAGAUUAAUACACAAAAAUCAGUUUAUUUCUAUACAUUUGCAAUUAACAAUCCAGAAGUGAAAUUAAGAAAACAAUUCCUUUUACAAUAAGAUAGAAAAGAAUAAGUUACUUGGGAGUAAAUUUAACAAAAGAAAGACUGGAGGAUUAUGCACUGAAAACUAUAAAAUAUUGUUAGAAAUUUUUCAAAAGUAAAUGGAAAAAUAUUUCCAUGUUCAUGGAUUAGAAGACAUAAUAUUGUUAAGAUGGCAUUACGACCCAAAUUGACCUACAGAUUCAAUGCAACUGAUACCAGACCUCUUAAUCUCAAGUUCCUGUGCCCAAUGCACAGCAAGCCAAACCCUGAGACAUCAGUGCUUGGCGAUAGAGAAGAUUUAUUCAAAUUGGCCCAAACAAGAAGGCAGGAGCCUGGGUUUGCUCAAAUCUGCCUUCCCAAGAACAGAAAGCAGGGAGUUUUAUAGAGCUAAGGGGCUUGGCAGGAGGAGCUUUGGAGAAACAAAGGGAUCACUCCAGAUAAGCCCCUGGGCAGUCUGACUCCCGGGCCUCAGGGCAGGAUCUGGUGAUUGCAUCCUCCCCUAAGGCAUUCUCUUUCUUCUGCUAAACAAACUCACAAAUCCUUCCUCCGCAAGUUCAACAAGAAAACAGCAAAUUGACAAGAUUCGUCUAUGUCUGUGUUGGGGAACAAGGUCAAAAGGCAAUCAUGUUCUUAGUAUCUACAGUAACCCUCAGGUACUGACUUCACAAUCUCUAUCAAAAUUCCAGCUGCUGUUUUUUUAGAGAAAUUGACAACUUGACCCUAAAGUUAAUAUGAAAAUUCAAGGGACCCAGAAUAGCCAAAACAAUUUUGAAAAAGAAGAACAAAGCUGGAGGAUUCACACAUCCUGAUUUCAAAACUUAAUAUAAAGCUUCAAUAAUCAAGAGAGUGUAGUACUGACAUAAGGAUAGACAUAAAUUAAUGGAAUAGAACUGAAAGUCCAGAAAUAAACUGUUAUAUUUACGGUCAAUUGAGUUUUGGAAAAGGUGCCAAGGGAGUCCAAUGGGGAACAUUUUUAAGAAACGUUGUGGGGACAACAGGAUAUCUAUCUGCAAAAGAAAGAUUGUGAACCUCUAUUUCAUGCAAUAUAAAAAAAUCAACUCAAUGAAUCAAAGAUUUAAAUAGGAGCUAAAACUAUAAAAUUCUUAGAAGAAAACAAAGGCGUAAAUCUUUGUGACCUUGGACUAGAUAAUGGUUUCUUAGAAGACACCUACAGCACAUGUAAACAAAGAAAAGCAGAUAAAUUGGACUUCCUCAAAAUUGAACACUUUUGUGCUUCAAAGGACACUAUCAAUAAAAUGAAAAGACAACCCACAGAAUGGAAGAAAAUAUUUGCAAAUCAAAUAUCUGAUGAGAGUCUAGUAUCCAGAAUAUAUAAAGAACUCUUAGAACUCAACCAUAAAAAGCCAACCCAAUCAAAAAAUGGGCAAAGGAGAUAAGUAGACGUUUCUCCAAAGAAGUAUACAGAUGGCCAAUAGACACAUGAAACAUCAACAUCGUUAGUCACUAGGGAAAUGCAAAUCAAAACCACAAUGAGAUACCACUUCACCCCCACUAUGUUGGUGUCUUAGUCUGCUUGGGCUGCUAUAACAAAAUGCCAUAAACUGAGUGGCUUAUAGACAACAGAAAUGUAUUUCUCACAGUUCUGGAGGCUGGGAAGUCCAAGAUCAAGUGCCGGCAGAUUCCAUGUCUGGGGACAGCCCUGUUGUUAACUCUGGUGCACUCCGCUUCAGCGGCCCGGGUUCGCUGGUUCAGAUCCCAGACGUGGACCUACACCACUUGUCAAGCCAGGCUGUGGUGGUGAUCCACAUAAAAAAGAGAGGAGGAUUGACACAGAUCUGUAUCUUCCUCAAGCAAAAAAUGAGGAAGAUUGACAACAGAUGUUGGCUCAGAGAGAAUCUUCCUCACCAAAGAAAAAAAAUUGCUUUCCAGAAAGAUAUAUCAAUUUAUAUUUUCACCAUCAGCAUUCUAUUAGUACAACUGAGGAGGGGCAUCUUUUUACACAGUUAAUGGCCAUUUAUUUUUCUUCUGUGAAUUGCCUUCUCCUUUCU